rnacentral:rRNA from 1 species
GGAAUCUUCGGCAAUGGACGAAAGUCUGACCGAGCAACGCCGCGUGAGUGAGGAAGGUCUUCGGAUCGUAAAGCUCUGUUGCCAGGGAAGAACAGGCAGGGGAGGGAAUGCCCCUGUUGUGACGGUACCUGAGAAGAAAGCCCCGGCUAACUACGUGCCAGCAGCCGCGGUAAUACGUAGGGGGCAAGCGUUGUCCGGAAUUAUUGGGCGUAAAGCGCGCGCAGGCGGUUCUUUAAGUCUUGUGUUUAAUGCCGAGGCUCAACCUCGGUACGCAUGGGAAACUGGAGGACUGGAGUGCAGGAGAGGAAAGUGGAAUUCCACGUGUAGCGGUGAAAUGCGUAGAGAUGUGGAGGAACACCAGUGGCGAAGGCGACUUUCUGGCAUGUAACUGACGCUGAGGCGCGAAAGCGUGGGGAGCAAACA